GACGAACGCUGGCGGCGUGCCUAAUACAUGCAAGUAGAACGCACAGUUUAUACCGUAGCUUGCUACACCAUAAACUGUGAGUUGCGAACGGGUGAGUAACGCGUAGGUAACCUGCCUGGUAGCGGGGGAUAACUAUUGGAAACGAUAGCUAAUACCGCAUAAUAUUGAUUAUUGCAUGAUAAUUGAUUGAAAGAUGCUAUUGCAUCACUACCAGAUGGACCUGCGUUGUAUUAGCUAGUAGGUGAGGUAACGGCUCACCUAGGCGACGAUACAUAGCCGACCGGAGAGGGUGAUCGGCCACACUGGGACUGAGACACGGCCCAGACUCCUACGGGAGGCAGCAGUAGGGAAUCGUCGGCAAUGGACGAAAGUCUGACCGAGCAACGCCGCGUGAGUGAAGAAGGUUGUCGGAUCGUAAAGCUCGGUUGUAAGAGAAGAACGGGUGUGAGAGUGGAAAGUUCACACUGUGACGGUAGCUGACCAGAAAGGGACGGCUAACUACGUG
rnacentral:rRNA from 1 species